GAUGAACGCUAGCGAUAGGCCUAACACAUGCAAGUCGAGGGGCAUCACAUGAAGUAGCAAUACGGAUGGUGGCGACCGGCGCACGGGUGAGUAACACGUAUGCAACCUGCCUUCAACAAGGGGAUAACCCGUUGAAAGACGGACUAAUACCCUAUAACACAGGGGUCCCGCAUGGGAAUAUUUGUUAAAGGACAACCGGUUGAAGAUGGGCAUGCGUUCCAUUAGCUAGUUGCGGGGUAACGGCCCACCAAGGCAACGAUGGAUAGGGGAACUGAGAGGUUUAUCCCCCACACUGGUACUGAGACACGGACCAGACUCCUACGGGAGGCAGCAGUGAGGAAUAUUGGUCAAUGGACGCAAGUCUGAACCAGCCACGUCGCGUGAAGGAAGACGGCCCUACGGGUUGUAAACUUCUUUUAUACGGGGAAUAAAGUGCCCCACGCGUGGGGUUUUGCAUGUACCGUAUGAAUAAGGAUCGGCUAACUCCGUG
rnacentral:rRNA from 1 species